GAACCGGACUCGUAAGUCCUGGAUCGGCUGCUCCGAUGUAAGUCGGUGCUACUCCGUCGGUGACGCCCUGGCGCACCCGCCUGUCGCGACAGGCGCGCACGGUGAGAAUCGGCCCUCAGGGUGAGCCGGUUU
rnacentral:sRNA from 1 species